rnacentral:misc_RNA from 1 species
UCCCUGUUACCAGGGCAGUCUAGCUAGAGAAAUUCAACUAACUAUAAGGGUUGCGCUCGUUGAUGGACUUAACCAAACAUCUCACGACACGAGCUGACGGCGGCCAUGCAGCACCUGUCACUUGGUUCAAUAAAGCACUCUCUCCUUUCGGAGAAAUUCCAAGGAUGUCAAACCUGGGUAAGGUUCUUCGCUUACCAUCGAAUUAAACAACACGCUCCACCGCUUGUGCGGGUCCCCGUCAAUUCCUUUGAGUUUUAGCCUUGCGGCCGUACUCCCCAGGCGGGGUGCUUAAUGCGUUAGCUUCGGCACGGAGGGAGUUGACACCCCCCACACCUAGCACCCAUCGUUUACGGCGUGGACUAC